rnacentral:rRNA from 1 species
UACGGAGGUGCAAGCGUUAUCCGGAAUCACUGGGUUUAAAGGGUGCGUAGGCGGCUUGGUAAGUCAGGGUGAAAGCUUCCCGCUCAACGGGAGAACUGCCCUUGAUACUGCCAGGCUCGAAUUGGGUUGAGGCUGGCGGAAUGUGGCAUGUAGCGGUGAAAUGCUUAGAUAUGCCAUAGAACACCGAUUGCGAAGGCAGCCAGCCAAGCCUUGAUUGACGCUGAGGCACGAAAGCGUGGGGAGCGAACAGGAUUAGAAACCCCUGUAGU